rnacentral:lncRNA from 1 species
GCGAAAAAUCGCAGCAGGGUUUUCGAUUUUCUCAAGAACUGUGGCGUUUGCGUAGGCGUUGGCCAUAGGCUCAGUGGUGGCUGGGAUUGUCUUACCAGCGUUAUUGCAAACUGCGAUUUUGUCUUUCGUAUUUCCAGACAUUGUUUUGAUCAAGCGUUUUGUGGCUGAGAGUUAGAUUGAUCCGUACCUCCCCUCCUUCUAGCGCCAAAC